rnacentral:tRNA from 1 species
AGGGAUUUAGCUCAGUGGCAUAAGCACCUGUCUUGCAAGCAUGAGGUCAUGAGUUCAAUCCCUA